GCCAAAGUAGGUCAGUUGAAAGUGUGUUAGAUUAGCAAUCUAAACGUCCCUGGUUCAAUCCCAGGCUUUGGCA